AUUUUUUUUAUUCUAUUAUUUUGAACGCCUUUUUAAGAGGCUCUAAACAUCGCGAGAACGUGUGAGAGUUGGAAUAAAUCACGUGGACGCGCCUCACGUGAGUGGCUAUGGCGGGACAGCUGAAGGAGCGUCUGAAGGACGCUGUAAAGAUCCUGGGCUGUGGCAGCACCUUAUUCCUGGGAUACCUCACUGCAACCGGGGACGAGCGAUUCUAUUCUACUGCCCUCAUGCCGGUGCUGCAAAGACUCGUGGGAGCAGAAACAGCUCAUGUCAUGGCUGUGCGCUUCCUCAGCUUGGGCCUGGUGCCUAGAAAUGGCUACAAGGAUCCGGCAUCGCUGGAGGUAAAUGUGCUGGGACGAAGGUUUGAGAAUCCUCUUGGAAUCGCAGCAGGCUUCGAUAAGCACGGCGAGGCCGUGGAUGGUCUGUAUCGCCUCGGCUUCGGCUUUGUCGAGGUAGGCACGGUCACCCCAAAACCUCAGGAGGGGAAUCCGAAACCCCGUGUGUUCAGACUCGAGGCUGACCAGGCGGUUAUUAACAGAUACGGUUUUAACAGCUGCGGCAUUGUAGCUGUUCGGGAAAGGUUAAAAGCCAGGGAAGGAGUUCAGUCUGAGCUUACAAAAGCAGGCAAACCGCUAGGCAUCAACCUGGGGAAGAACAAGCUGUCCACUGAUGCCGUGGCUGAUUAUCUAGAGGGAGUGAGGAUGCUCGGCCCCCUCGCUGACUACCUGGUCGUGAACGUGAGCAGCCCGAACACUCCAGGCCUCAGAGACCUGCAGGGGAAGAAAGAACUGCACCAUCUGCUGGAGAAGGUACUGAAAGCAAGAGACACUCUGCAAGUGGCAAAUCGACCACCAGUAAUGGUUAAGAUUGCUCCAGAUCUCUCCCAGCAGGACAAGCAGGACAUUGCAGAGGUCAUCACAGAGCUCGGUGUGGAUGGAUUAAUAGUCUCCAACACUACGGUGUCCAGGCCAGAGACCCUGCAGGACAACAACAGGAACGAGACGGGGGGUCUGAGUGGGCAGCCGCUUAAAGAGCUGUCCACUCGCACAGUACGGGAGAUGUACAGCUUAACCAGAGUGUUUUCAUUUGUGUGUUCUAGGGAAGGUGCCCAUUGUCGGUGUAGGAGGCGUGGCUAGUGGACAGGACGCCCUGGAUAAGAUCCGUGCCGGAGCGUCUCUGGUUCAGCUCUACACAGCGCUGGUGUAUCAGGGUCCUCCGAUCGUUACUAAGAUCAAAAGGGAACUGCAUGAGCUCUUAACGGAACAAGGAUUCAGCAGCGUAUCAGAAGCAGUAGGUGCUGAUCACAGGACGUCUGAUGGUGUGGCGUCGUCCUACACAGAAGGAUCUACGGUGAAUUAGGCCCAAAAACAGCUCACGUGCAACUCUCAGACUGGUGUAAGAUGGUGGAGUCUGGUUUCCCACAUCAGAGCUUCUUCUUUACAUGACUUGAUUUGGGGCUUCAGAGAACUGUCACAUGACCCGGAGAUGGACCCUUUUGGAUGUUGGACAGCGGAAUUGGAGAGUUUGAUGAAAGUCAAGUCAAGCAUCAGCGCUGCGACUUCGAGAUGAAGCGCAAACAGCGUUGUGAUGAACAGAGACUUAAUCCUGACAAGUAAACAAGCUAAACGUGGAGCAGAUGUGACUUUUCAGAUUUUAAUGAUGUAUAAUGAUAUAAUAAAUAUCGUUUGAACAAUUGUCCCACUUAAGAGGUUGCCAUUCACCCUGAAUUUCCAAUUUUUGGAAUAAAAUAAUUCAGUAGGGUUGCCAGGUCCAGUUUAAACGUGUAAUUAAAAGAAAAACUAAAUAAUGAACAACAUAAAUCUUCAAGAGAUUGAUAUUUAUUUUGAAAUAAAAUUCACUUUAAUAGAGUU